rnacentral:rRNA from 1 species
AUUGAACGCUGGCGGCAGGCUUAACACAUGCAAGUCGAGCGGGGGAGGUUGCUUCGGUAACUGACCUAGCGGCGGACGGGUGAGUAAUACUUAGGAAUCUGCCUAUUAAUGGGGGACAACAUCUCGAAAGGGAUGCUAAUACCGCAUACGCCCUACGGGGGAAAGCAGGGGAUCACUUGUGACCUUGCGUUAAUAGAUGAGCCUAAGUCGGAUUAGCUAGUUGGUGGGGUAAAGGCCUACCAAGGCGACGAUCUGUAGCGGGUCUGAGAGGAUGAUCCGCCACACUGGGACUGAGACACGGCCCAGACUCCUACGGGAGGCAGCAGUGGGGAAUAUUGGACAAUGGGGGGAACCCUGAUCCAGCCAUGCCGCGUGUGUGAAGAAGGCCUUAUGGUUGUAAAGCACUUUAAGCGAGGAGGAGGCUCUUUUGGUUAAUACCCAAGAUGAGUGGACGUUACUCGCAGAAUAAGCACCGGCUAACUCUGUGCCAGCCGCCGCUGUAA